GGGUGAUUAGCUCAGCUGGGAGAGCACCUCCCUUACAAGGACGGGGUCGGCGGUUCGAUCCCGUCAUCACCCACCA
rnacentral:tRNA from 1 species